rnacentral:rRNA from 1 species
UACGUAGGGGGGCAAGCGUUGUCCGGAUUUACUGGGCGUAAAGAGCGUGUAGGCGGCCAAGCAGGUCCGUUGUGAAAACUGGAGGCUUAACCUCCAGACGCCGAUGGAAACCGUCUGGCUAGAGUCCGGAAGAGGAGAGUGGAAUUCCUGGUGUAGCGGUGAAAUGCGCAGAUAUCAGGAAGAACACCCGUGGCUAAGGCGGCUCUCUAGUACGGUACUGA